CCAGACUCCUACGGGAGGCAGCAGUGAGGAAUAUUGGUCAAUGGCCGAGAGGCUGAACCAGCCAAGUCGCGUGAGGGAAGACGGCCCUACGGGUUGUAAACCUCUUUUGUCGGGGAGCAAAGCGAGUCACGUGUGACUCAUUGAGAGUACCCGAAGAAAAAGCAUCGGCUAACUCCGUGCCAGCAGCCGCGGUAAUACGGAGGAUGCGAGCGUUAUCCGGAUUUAUUGGGUUUAAAGGGUGCGUAGGCGGGCAUUUAAGCCGGCGGUCAAAUGUCGGGGCUCAACCCCGGCCUGCCGUCGGAACUGGGUGCCUUGAGUGGGCGAGAAGUAUGCGGAAUGCGUGGUGUAGCGGUGAAAUGCAUAGAUAUCACGCAGAACCCCGAUUGCGAAGGCAGCAUACCGGCGCCCUACUGACGCUGAGGCACGAAAGUGCGGGUAUCGAACAGGAUUAGAUACCCCGGUAC
rnacentral:rRNA from 1 species